GAGCUCUUAACCUUCUCAGUGGUUUCGCUACCAGAGGUUACACAGCUAUGCAGAGGGUUACAUAGUGGAACUUGGAUGUUAUAGCUCACAGCAAGCAGGGUGUUAGCUGGGGAAUUACAAUCAAAUGAUGAAUCUUCAGUUUACUUGGGAAAAGCAGUGGAUUCUCAAGAGGGGCUUCAAUUGACAGAAGAAUUACAAG